ensembl:lncRNA
GGCGGAGUGAGUAGACGCUCUCUACCGAGGUCUGCACAGAAAGUUCGUGAACAACGACGGUGUGGGGAGCUACAGCCCCCGUCCCCCAGUGCAUGAAGCAGGCAUGGAGAAGAUCCAGGCCCCAGAGUGCGAGAGCCCAAGGACGAUCAUCGGAGGGGCAAAACCGUGCCACCCUCCUGGGAAGAGCUGAGGAGAGCCCCAGACAAGGGGUCACCCGGCAGGGAGUGUGGUGAGGGGAGAUAGGCCUCCAUACCUUGGAGGGCCUGAGAUGUACCCAGACAGAGAGGUGGAGUCUAAGACCCAACCUGACAUAUAGACAGACGAACAGGCA